UGGGGAAUUUUGGACAAUGGGGGAAACCCUGAUCCAGCCAUCCCGCGUGUGCGAUGAAGGCCUUCGGGUUGUAAAGCACUUUUGGCAGGAAAGAAACGUCGCGGGUUAAUACCCCGCGAAACUGACGGUACCUGCAGAAUAAGCACCGGCUAACUACGUGCCAGCAGCCGCGGUAAUACGUAGGGUGCAAGCGUUAAUCGGAAUUACUGGGCGUAAAGCGUGCGCAGGCGGUUCGGAAAGAAAGAUGUGAAAUCCCAGAGCUUAACUUUGGAACUGCAUUUUUAACUACCGGGCUAGAGUGUGUCAGAGGGAGGUGGAAUUCCGCGUGUAGCAGUGAAAUGCGUAGAUAUGCGGAGGAACACCGAUGGCGAAGGCAGCCUCCUGGGAUAACACUGACGCUCAUGCACGAAAGCGUGGGGAGCAAACAGGAUUAGAUACCCUGGUAGUCCACGCCCUAAACGAUGUCAACUAGCUGUUGGGGCCUUCGGGCCUUGGUAGCGCAGCUAACGCGUAAGUUGACCGCCUGGGGAGUNCGGUCG
rnacentral:rRNA from 1 species